rnacentral:rRNA from 1 species
AGUCACUGACAUUAGAUACCCCUGUAGUCCCAGCCGUAAACAAUGUGCGUUAGGUGUGUCGGUAACCACGCGUUACUGAUGCGCCGAAGAGAAAUCGUGAAACGCACCACCUGGGAAGUACGGUCGCAAGGCUGAAACUUAAAGGAAUUGGCGGGGGAGCACCACAACAGGUGGAGCCUGCGGUUUAAUUGGAUUCAACGCCGGACAUCUCACCGGAUAAGACAGCUGAAUGAUUGUCAAUCUGAGGGUUUUACAUGACUAGCUG